GAUGAACGCUGGCGGCGUGCCUAAUACAUGCAAGUCGAGCGAACAGAUAAGGAGCUUGCUCCUUUGACGUUAGCGGCGGACGGGUGAGUAACACGUGGGUAACCUACCCAUAAGACUGGGAUAACUUCGGGAAACCGGAGCUAAUACCGGAUAACAUUUGGAACCGCAUGGUUCUAAAGUGAAAGAUGGUUUUGCUAUCACUUAUAGAUGGACCCGCGCCGUAUUAGCUAGUUGGUAAGGUAACGGCUUACCAAGGCAACGAUACGUAGCCGACCUGAGAGGGUGAUCGGCCACACUGGAACUGAGACACGGUCCAGACUACUACGGGAGGCAGCAGUAGGGAAUAUUCCGCAAUGGGCGAAAGCCUGACGGAGCAACGCCGCGUGAGUGAUGAAGGGUUUCGGAUCGUAAAACUCUGUUAUUAGGGAAGAACAAAUGUGUAAGUAACUGUGCACGUCUUGACGGUACCUAAUCAGAAAGCCACGGCUAACUACGUG
rnacentral:rRNA from 1 species